AUUGAACGCUGGCGGCAUGCUUUACACAUGCAAGUCGAACGGUGACAGGCCUUCGGGCGCUGACGAGUGGCGAACGGGUGAGUAAUGCAUCGGAACGUGCCCAGUCGUGGGGGAUAACGCAGCGAAAGCUGUGCUAAUACCGCAUACGAUCUAUGGAUGAAAGCGGGGGACCGUAAGGCCUCGCGCGAUUGGAGCGGCCGAUGUCAGAUUAGGUAGUUGGUGGGGUAAAGGCUCACCAAGCCAACGAUCUGUAGCUGGUCUGAGAGGACGACCAGCCACACUGGGACUGAGACACGGCCCAGACUCCUACGGGAGGCAGCAGUGGGGAAUUUUGGACAAUGGGGGCAACCCUGAUCCAGCAAUGCCGCGUGCAGGAUGAAGGCCUUCGGGUUGUAAACUGCUUUUGUACGGAACGAAAAGACUCUUUCUAAUAAAGAGGGUCCAUGACGGUACCGUAAGAAUAAGCACCGGCUAACUACGUGCCAGCCGCCGCCGUAAGAC
rnacentral:rRNA from 1 species